ACACCAGCAACACAGAGUAUUGUCAUGCGGAAAUGCAACAAAAAUCAACUUAGUUUCAUGUAUUACCACCUUGGGUAAUUUAGAAGGUAAACAGAUGCAAGGNNCGGCAAUAGACUAUCUCGGUGAAACCUCGAGAAUUGUGCAGCCAAGGGAGCAUUCCGAGGUUCUUCAAACCGAACUCUUUCCUUGGGAAGAGUCUCCUGCUAAUUAUAAGAUC
rnacentral:misc_RNA from 1 species